rnacentral:rRNA from 1 species
CCUACGGGAGGCAGCAGUGGGGGAUAUUGCACAAUGGGGGAAACCCUGAUGCAGCGACGCCGCGUGGGUGAAGAAGUAUUUCGGUAUGUAAAGCCCUAUCAGCAGGGAAGAAAGAAGACGGUACCUGACUAAGAAGCCCCGGCUAACUACGUGCCAGCAGCCGCGGUAAUACGUAGGGGGCGAGCGUUAUCCGGAUUCACUGGGUGUAAAGGGAGCGUAGACGGCCGUGCAAGCCAGGAGUGAAAGCCCGGGGCCCAACCCCGGGACUGCUCGUGGAACUGUGCGGCUGGAGUGCGGGAGGGGCAGGCGGAAUUCCUGGUGUAGCGGUGAAAUGCGUAGAUAUCAGGAGGAACACCGGCGGCGAAGGCGGCCUGCUGGACCGCGACUGACGUUGAGGCUCGAAAGCGUGGGGAGCGAACAGGAUUAGAUACCCGGGUAGUC